rnacentral:pre_miRNA from 1 species
CAUCUUACCUGGCGGGGUUUAGACGGUUCUGAGCUCUAACACUGUCUGGUAAUGAUGAC